GAUCGAUAUUUUCUAUACGAGAUCGUCCGCAUAUUAAUCGAAGGAUAUAUCACUAUUACGGCACGAUACGAAUUUAUCACCACCCUGUAUAUCAUUGCUCAUCUCGCCGCACAUAAUGUACGCCGGCAAAGCGAGAUGAAAGGCACUCUGCUUAUCAAAACAAAAGGCUUGUACCGAAGUGUUUAUCGCGGGCGAGUUGCUUAGCUUGCUGUCUGGCUGGCUGUCCGUCAACCGUCAGGGAAAUGAAAUGCAACGAAAUAAGAAGAAUGUCGGCUCGCUUUUUCUCUCUCUUUCUCGCCCGCAGGACUCUUCAGUCUCGGGUCGGCUUACGUCGUUGACCAUAAGAAAGAAAAGGAAGAGCAAAGCGCUAAGGAUGGCUACAGUUCGUCGAGACAAAAGCUUUUUGUCUCGAGCCUACCUAGCCGCGUGUCAGAAUUUUCGCACUCUUUCAUUAAUAAAUAAUGUAUACAAGAAUUAGUAUUGGUACGCCAAUUUAUUACGCUAAUUUAUACGUGAGCGUUACAAACAAAUGAAGAGAAACCGUCGUUAACCAGGCUUUUUGGAGAGAAUGUAUUGUCUGAUAUACUACGCAACGGCCAAUUAAAAUACAUUACUGUUCUAACGAGCCGAAUGAGAUGCAUAAGUUACGCAUGCUCAAUUGAUAAUGACGUUUUACGCGUGUGUGCGAACGACAGAUCUCUCGCCUCUAAUACAGCAAAAACGUUACACUUGCAAAAUUUUAUCAAGCGCUAAGAUAGACUCAAUUAUCAUUAUCAGUAUUUCUCACCUCGUUAUUAUCUUAUGAAAAAUCGAGGACCGAGAAGAAGCAUAAUUUUUGAAGAGUUUUAAUAAACAAAUCAAUUACAUGAGAUUUACAAUUCCGGAAAUUUUAAUAUCAAUAACAUGCUAUUGUUGAGGAUUUAUCUAAACAAGCCAACUCUGCCUCAUACAGGAAUGGAUAUUGAGUCUUCCACGAACUUAAAUAAGUUAAUAAUUGAUAAUUGAGAAACUGAAACUUAAGUCUAGCCGAAAAUAUUAAACUCUCAACAUGAUUGACGCAGCACAAUCCUGAUUCUACUCUCGUCAAAAAUCUUUCGUAAGGAACAUAAGGAAAAAAAGGAAGAAAAAGCAAAAUUAUUUCUUCGUGAUAAGUCUAAUUGAGUAAAAUUGA